rnacentral:rRNA from 1 species
UACGUAGGUGGCAAGCGUUGUCCGGAUUUACUGGGCGUAAAGAGCGCGCAGGCGGUCGGCCAAGUCGAGUGUGAAAGCCCCCGGCUCAACUGGGGAGGGUCAUUCGAUACUGGUCGACUCGAAGGCAGGAGAGGGAAGCGGAAUUCCCGGUGUAGUGGUGAAAUGCGUAGAUAUCGGGAGGAACACCAGUGGCGAAGGCGACUUCCUGGCCUGUUCUUGACGCUGAGGCGCGAAAGCUAGGGGAGCAAACGGG